rnacentral:misc_RNA from 1 species
UGAUACGAUUUCUGACUUGUGUAAUCCGAAUAAUGGCUCCAUUUUAUAGUGUGGAAAAACUUCGAUCACAAUACGAAAGGAAAAAGGAAGAACAUCGACGAUGUAGCAAACCGCAAGAUCUCGUAACCUUAUAUUCAACCAGAAAUCCUCGCCGUCGAAACUGACGUCUAGCCGACAUGAGCCUCAUAAUCGGAUUAUGUCGUCUCGUGUUACCUUAAAUCCAUCUGCAAUUAAUACGUCCACCUUCUAUAUUGGUAACACGAUAUCGCUCUAAGUCUGGUUGUUUUACGCGCACGUACAUGCGUCCAGUGAAUCGAAAGGUGGUAGCCCGCGAUUCCCAUCAAAAUAAGAUUUCUGGACUCGUUACCUGCGAAAGAAUCUUUGCAACCUUCCUCAAGAUCACGAUCUGUCAAUUGAAGAUCGAUAACUCCAUCAGGAAAUGGAUAAAACAAUUUAUCAUCCUUGAAGUUUGUCAGAGAUUUCCAAGUAGCGAAUUGUCGAGACCUUUUGGCUUCUCCAUAACGCGUUGAUCCGCGUUUACGAUGAAAUCCGCGGACGCAAAAUCGACGAGCGGACUCCGCGCGGUCUGCCACGGAAAUUCCACGUCCUGGUCUCUUGCCAACGUGAUCUUGGCUUGGACCUGGUUUUGCGAUGGCACCAUUGCCAAAAGUAAUUCGCGUGAACCGCAAACGCGCGCACGAUUCUCAACGUUAACUAGAAAUCCUAGCGAGUAUGUGUGCAUUUGCAGCUACGUAUAUGAGUAGCGAAAUUAGCCUGGACACGAGGAAGUGCCCGCGUCUCGAUCCGAUAUAAACUUCCGUCGAAUAGGAGACCAAACGGCGGGUCCCACUUAGGAUCAUUAAUCUUUUGCAGUGCUCCUCUGAGCGCGUGAACAGGAACGAACAGUGUAGUGCGUUACGCAACAGUAUCCGGAAAACUGUUCGCCAUUCAGUUCUACAUCCUUUUCAUUCUCUCGUUUGUGACAGAAUGUUGUUUCUUCUUCUAUAAUUUGUUCAUAAUUUAAUCUGCAUACGUGUAAAUAUUUUAGUCGAUCUCUAUUAACGAUACAUGAAUGACUAUACUGUUAAUGAGAUCUUAAAAUCAACGCAUAAAUGAAUAAAAUAAAUGAAUGAAAUACACAAAUGAUAAAUUAACGAUAAAAAACAAUAUUGACUACUCUUUUGUGGAAUCAGCAA